CAACAUAAAAAAACCUAAAAACGUAGCUCUGUCUCCUCCUCGAGGGAAGAAAAAAGCUAAAUCUAAGCUUCAAUACUUCAUGUCGACUCCAUUGUUCCAACCUACUAGAGAAUCAUUCUCACCUUGUUAUCAAUUGUUUUCUUAUGAAAUCCUAAAUCGUGUUAACCAACUUAACCUUAAAUAACAUUAAAAUCAAAUCAAAACUGAAAUUAUUCUGAGUUUCCUCCUUUCUUCUUAUUCUUCUUCGACGAUAACCUGGAUAAUGAUAAUAUGGUGUUACAAACCCUAGAUAUGGGAUUUCGUAAUUGCUGGAAUUGACUGCUAUGUUGAGUAGAUGAGGAAAGGGAAAAUAAAAUAAAAUAAAAUAAAAUAGAAGUAGGUCAAUGAAGUGGUGGUGGUGGUUAUUCUUAACUUCAUCAGAAAAAGAUGAACAUCCUAAAGAUUGAUAGGAACAGGUUUUUAGAAGAAUUACUGGUAUGGGUUUUCAUUUGUGUUAUUCAUCUACUGUAUGUACUGAUGGGUUACUCUUAUGAUUUACACUGCUUUUGCUUGUUGUGUUAUAUUGAUAGAACAUAGACACUGUUAUUAUGCAUUGUAACUAGAUUGGGAUCUACUGAGGUUAUAUACAGAAUGUUUCUAGGUAAUGUAGUCUCAAGCAUUUCAGCAGGGUACAUACACAAAUUUGUUUUAUGAUCAAUUUUCAUGUGGUUCAUUGUUGUAUAUUCGUGUAGAAGUAUAACUGUGACUGGAUAAUACUCAAUUAUUCACACUUAUUGAAUAUAUGUUGUUGUCUAAAAAGCAAAAUUAGUUGUUGGAGAAUGAAGCAGCUUUGUAUACUUCUGCAGUUUGCUUUCCAUUGUUGCUUUGAUAAUUCGUUUGUGAUUCUUUUUUUUUAUUCUUAUGCAUGUUGGUACGAACAUUUCAUUCAGACUUCCUACUGUAUUCUCAUCUUCGUUCAAGAUUUUGUUCCAAUAAAUUGAAAGCUGCACUAGAUGAACCAUCACUAGCAUAGUUACAUGCGGCAGCGAUAGAGAGAGUUGUGUUGGCAUCCAAACAGAGUUAUGGAAUCUCUGUUAUACCGUUUUCUUGAUGUUGCAAGUUGUGAAGUUGAUGAAAUUGAAGUGGAACAUCAUCUCCGAAGUAACUCUGUGGGAACUAUAAGAAUGUUCUGGGCUUCUUUCCUUUCCUAGCUUUCUUACUUCUUAGGAAGCUGUAGCUUUUGUAUCACCACAAGGUCUAAAUUUUUGGGUUCAUUUUAGAGAUCUUCUUAUCAAGGGAAAGGAUAAUCACAUUUGAACUUCUUUAUCUCUUAAUAAGAUCAUCUUAUAGUUGAUCUGAAAUUUCAGAUGCUCAUAGGAGUUUGGUUGGAUAAGAACGAUUUUAUGAAGCAAGGCAAUGAAUACAGACAUGAACUAUUUCAGUUUGCAAUGCGUUUCAAACAUUUCAUAACUCUUCAUGAUGCUUCCAACUUAUCUUGUUGCAGGUUUUGGUCGAAUCGGUGACUGAGUGAGUGAGUUUGGAAAAUUGGUGGUUGAUCCAAAAACCAAUGAACUUCUGCACUUCACGGAGAAACCCGAGACAUUUGUAUGUACAAGGCCCAAAGUUCGCUGACUUUUUUGAUCAUAUUUAAGUGAUACAAUGUUUUAACGAUUCAAGUGGUUGGUUUUGUUUUCUCUUCAUAAUGAACCCUGAACCCUGAACCUUCACGGAGAAACCCGAGACAUUUGUAUGUACAAGGCCCAAAGUUCGUUGACUUUUUUGAUCAUAUUUAAGAAACAGUGUUUUAACGAUUCAAGUGGUUGGUUCUGUUUUCUCUUCAUAAUGUAUUUUAAUAAGCAGAUGUACUCAUUCAUUGCAGUAUGAAUUUGUAUUAGGUCAUGUUAUUGAGUACGUACAAUAAUCUGGUCUUACUCAUCUCUAAUCUUCAUUUCGUGUUUACAGCUAAUCUCCGACGUGUAUCCAGCUUUCUCUUCAGUUUGCAACAAAGUAAGAUUUUAUUUCUGCUUCUCGGCUUUCAUUUCUAAAUAUUUUCAUUUUGUUGAAGAUAGUACUUAUAUUUUUUGGUAAUGGUGCAUCACUUUGCAUGCAUCAAUAUCUUACUUUUGUGAGCUUUCAGUAUUCGUUAAUCAGGGUUCUUUUUUCUUCCCUUUCUUGGGACUGCAUUUGUUAUGUUUUUUUUCUAAUGAUUAUGAUGUCAGGUAUAUGCAAAAAUAGUUGUAUGAUAAGUCUUAUUAUUACUGUAAAACGAGAAAGAAAAUUUUAUGUUGUUAUAAUCAUCAUCAUUAUAUAUAGGCGUCAAACUUGAACUAGAUUUAAAUAUAUGCCUGAAUUUUAGGAGUCCAUGUCUAUUAAUGGCUAUAGUUAACGACAUGUCCCAGUCUCAUGUCAGAAUGGUGGAGCUGGUCCUAAAAUUGUAGAACAAAGUACCAUGAUUAUCCCCAUGUGAAAAGGGUGGUGUGGCUACUUAAAUUGUGUUGCUCACCGAACUAGCAAGACCAGAGGUUAGUUAUUCUGCCUUCAAUUUUCAGGGCCAGUUAGUAGGUAAUUACUCUGGAUAACUAGGUUAUCCAUCAUGUAGCCUUGGUCAUGAUAUUAACUACAAAAGCCUUCUUGUUAUUUACGGCGACCAGAAUGGUUACUGUUACUAUUUGAGUUUGAAGUCAUCAACAUCGACAUAAUUGUAUUCUUGUUAGAUUUUAAACUCUAGUUCCUAGGUCUUGAUCAUGUAAACAGAUUAUGUUCGUGUUAAUGGAUCGAUCCAAGCUACAACAUCGGAUGGUAAAGACAAGUUUUUCAGAUUACUGAGACACAACAGAAAGCAAUGUUUAUAGGGACAUAUCUCAUGUCCUUUAGUGCAUGUAAAACCCUCAUUAUCGACAAUCUUUUUUGUAAUGUGCCUAUGUUUGACUUUUCCUUUUUUACCAUUGUUUUGCAUCACAAGUUUGUCUUAUCUCAGUCUCCGAGGAGAAACCAAAGGAAUCUGAUCGCUCUGGCAUUGAAGAUUUGAUUAUUGUGCUUUAGAUCUUAUUGUUUCUGAUCUUAUGACCUGUCUAUAUGUUUAUCUUUAAUCUUCAUUUCAUAUUUACAGCUAAUAUUGAACGUGUAUCCAGCUUUUUGUUCAGUCCGCAAAAAGUGAUUCCUUACUGAUUUUAUAAGCCUGGAUCAAGAUAUAAGUAAACUCCUAUUGCUGGGAAGAGAAAUAACUUUAUACUUUUGAGGGUAUAUUUCAGGGAAAACAUCAAAACUCCUGACUAGACCAAUCUGCAAGUAAAGGAAUGUUGCAUCAUCCAUCUUUUGAGAGUAAUGUCCAACGUUUGUUGGAAACUCUGUACUAGUCUUGAAUUUCUGUUAUGCUUAGGUUUUCUUUGUGUUGGUUCCAGUGAAAUUAUGACCUUGUAAUUCUUUUCUGAAUGAAUAAAUGAUGUUGGAAUGUUUGCAGCGUGAUAAUUUUAUUUCCAUGUCAAUCUGAAUGAAUAAAUGAUGUUGGAAUGA